rnacentral:rRNA from 1 species
GAUGAACGCUGGCGGCGUGCCUAAUACAUGCAAGUCGAGCGAACAGAUGAGGAGCUUGCUCCUCUGACGUUAGCGGCGGACGGGUGAGUAACACGUGGAUAACCUACCUAUAAGACUGGGAUAACUUCGGGAAACCGGAGCUAAUACCGGAUAAUAUAUUGAACCGCAUGGUUCAAUAGUGAAAGACGGUUUUGCUGUCACUUAUAGAUGGAUCCGCGCCGCAUUAGCUAGUUGGUAAGGUAACGGCUUACCAAGGCAACGAUGCGUAGCCGACCUGAGAGGAUGACCAGUCAAACUGGGACUGAGACACGGUCGAGACUACUACGGGAGGCAGCAGUGGGGAAUAUUGGAAAAGGGGAGAAAGCCUGAUACAGCCAUGCCGGGUGAGUGAAGAAGGUCUUCGGAUUGUAAAGCACUUUAAGUUGGGAGGAAGGGAAGGAAGUUAAUACCUUGCUGUUUUGACGUGACCAAAAGAAUAAGCCCCGGCUAACUUCGUG